rnacentral:piRNA from 1 species
CCCCAGUGUCCUAGACAGGGAUUAGCAGUGC